rnacentral:tRNA from 1 species
GGACCGGUAGCACGAUGGUUCGUGCAGCACUCUUAUAAAGUGUUGGUUAUGUGUUCAAGUCACAUCCGGUCCA